rnacentral:rRNA from 1 species
AUACGUAGGGAGCGAGCGUUGUCCGGAAUUACUGGGCGUAAAGGGUGCGUAGGUGGCUUGGCAAGUCCGAUGUGAAAUCCCCGGGCUCAACUCGGGAUCUGCAUUUGAAACUGCUUGGCUUGAGUGCAGGAGAGGAAAGCGGAAUUCCUAGUGUAGCGGUGAAAUGCGUAGAUAUUAGGAGGAACACCAGUGGCGAAGGCGGCUUUCUGGACUGUAACUGACACUGAGGCACGAAAGCGUGGGGAGC